GUAGGUUUCUUUUUACAUUUUGUUCUUCUUUAUUAGAUGAAAAAGUACUAAAAAUGAUUUAAUCUAAAUAUUUCAUAUUAAACAAGUAGAAAAUAUGUUUCUAAGGGAGUAAAUUAUUUUACCAAGUUAUAACUCUAGUACAAGACAUAUAUGGAACUAGUACCGGAGUUUCUUGAGUUUUAGUGCAUGGUGAUUUUAUUUCACUUUUCUAUUCUGUUGAUGAUCUAAGAACUCAACUGGAAUACCAUAAUAGAACAUGAAGCCUUGACAAAAAUAGAAAAAAAUGCAAGAAAUAAACAAUAUAGAAGACUGAGAUCAUUAAUGGUGCAGAUAGCCUGGCCACAUUACAAGAAGGAAUUGAGUAAACAAGCAAAGAAAUGCAAAGGUAAGUGGACUCUGAUAGAAAAAAAAAAAAAGUCUCCUGAUUUUUUCAAGCACCUAGAUACAGCCAUAUCUGAAGCUAGUUUUUUCCUUUGGCUGUCUGGUAACAUGAGUCAACAAAAUUCCAUUUUUGCUUCAUCUAGUUUGCACUAGGUUUCCAUCACUUGCAGAGGAAAGAGAUCUGCUGAUUACAGUGAAAAUUCUCAUUGAGCAAAUGUGGACAAGAAAUUAGAAAUGUAAAUAGACAGCAAAGUGACAGAUACACAGAUAAAAGACAAACAGGUCUAACAAGAAGGGGUAGAAAGCCCCUUGAAUUUUAAUGCAGAAAUAAUAAACAAAUACAGAGGGAGUGAUGGGUUAUCUUG
rnacentral:lncRNA from 13 species